rnacentral:rRNA from 1 species
ACCCGCACAAGCGGUGGAGCAUGUGGUUAAAUUAGAAGCAACGCGAAGAACCUUACCUGGUCUUGACAUCCCGAUGACGAGUGAGCAAAGUCACUUUCCCUUCGGGGCAUUGGAGACAGGUGGUGCAUGGUUGUCGUCAGCUCGUGUCGUGAGAUGUUGGGUUAAGUCCCGCAACGAGCGCAACCCCUAUUUCCAGUAGCCAGCAGGUAGAGCUGGGCACUCUGGAGAGACUGCCCGGGAUAACCGGGAGGAAGGCGGGGAUGACGUCAAAUCAUCAUGCCCCUUAUGAUCAGGGCUACACACGUGCUACAAUGGCGUAAACAAAGGGAAGCGAGACGGUGACGUUGAGCAAAUCCCAAAAAUAACGUCCCAGUUCGGAUUGUAGUCUGCAACUCGACUACAUGAAGCUGGAAUCGCUAGUAAUCGCGAAUCAGAAUGUCGCGGUGAAUACGUUCCCGGGUCUUGUACACACCGCCCGUCACACCAUGGGAGUCGGAAAUGCCCGAAGUCAGUGACCUAACCGAAAGGAAGGAGCUGCCGAAGGUGGAGCCGGUAACUGGGGUGAAGUCGUAACAAGGUAACCGUAAGGGCGAAUUCGCG